UGAGUAAUAGUAUCGGAGGUCGGUAUUCCCUGAAAUACCGACCUAAUACCGACAUCCCAGCUUAGGUCGGAAAAAGCUUGGUCGCUAUUCAAUACCGACCUCUGGAGGUCGGUAUUUACUAACCUCUCGUGGUCAGUUUUUAUUUUAAGUCGGAAAAUUCAUUAUUUUAUUUUCUGACUUCCUGAGGUCAGCUUUAUAUAUUUGUUUAUUUUAUUUUUUAUUAUUUGCAAUUUCCUAAGGUCAG
rnacentral:lncRNA from 1 species